UAGAGUUUGAUCCUGGCUCAGGAUGAACGCUAGCGGCAGGCUUAACACAUGCAAGUCGAGGGGCAUCGGGAGGGAAGCUUGCUUUCCUUGCCGGCGACCGGCGCACGGGUGAGUAACACGUAUGCAACCUGCCCUCUUCAGGGGGACAACCUUCCGAAAGGGGGGCUAAUCCCGCGUAUAUCGGUUUCGGGCAUCCGAGAUCGAGGAAAGAUUCAUCGGAAGAGGAUGGGCAUGCGGCGCAUUAGCUUGACGGCGGGGUAACGGCCCACCGUGGCGACGAUGCGUAGGGGUUCUGAGAGGAAGGUCCCCCACACUGGUACUGAGACACGGACCAGACUCCUACGGGAGGCAGCAGUGAGGAAUAUUGGUCAAUGGGAGAGAUCCUGAACCAGCCAAGCCGCGUGAGGGAAGACGGCCCUAUGGGUUGUAAACCUCUUUUGUCGGAGAACAAAACCCGGGACGUGUCCCGGACUGCGUGUAUCCGAAGAAAAAGCAUCGGCUAACUCCGUGCCAGCAGCCGCGGUAAUACGGAGGAUGCGAGCGUUAUCCGGAUUUAUUGGGUUUAAAGGGUGCGUAGGCGGUCCGUUAAGUCAGCGGUAAAAUUGCGGGGCUCAACCCCGUCGAGCCGUUGAAACUGGCAGACUUGAGUUGGCGAGAAGUACGCGGAAUGCGCGGUGUAGCGGUGAAAUGCAUAGAUAUCGCGCAGAACUCCGAUUGCGAAGGCAGCGUACCGGCGCCACACUGACGCUGAGGCACGAAAGCGUGGGGAUCGAACAGGAUUAGAUACCCUGG
rnacentral:rRNA from 1 species